ACCCAGAUGACGAGUCUCAGAUAGGACGAAAUGCGCAUCCUGGCUGGAU
rfam:Trichobilharzia regenti genome assembly, scaffold: TRE_scaffold0005072